AGUCCGAUACCGGGGAGCUCUAGUUGGCUGUAGAUCGGAGCUAAAAUGGAUUUCAGUUUGGAAUUCUUGGUCAGCAUCUUUGGAGUUCUAAUUCUCUCUCAUGCCGCUUACUCAACUGUUCAGUAUUGGCUUGAUUUGGUUGCAGAUAGGGGAUUGUUGAUGAUUAUGGAGGAAGAGUUUUCAGGACCUCCAAUCACUGUGGUGGCUGAAUUGCUUCUAGGGUUAGUGUUGAGUUUGCGGGCAGGACUCACUUUUCGGGGCAUGUUUCUGUCAAUACAGUCCCAUUCUGAAGAGAAUAGGUAUUUGUUAAGCGUUUGUCUCCGAAAUCGAUGACUAGAUAUGGAUGCUCUUCCUAUAUAUUUGGACAAGCUUUUCAAUCAGUAUGUAUUGGAAGUUUCUGAAGAAACUUGCUUAAGAAACUUCCAAUAGUAU